rnacentral:tRNA from 1 species
GGAAGGAUGGUCUUGUGGUUAAGGCACCAGACUGGGGCUCAGGAGGUCUGGGUACAACUCCUGGUCUGCCA